rnacentral:rRNA from 1 species
UACGUAGGGUGCAGGCGUUAAUCGGAAUUACUGGGCGUAAAGCGUGCGCGGGCGGUUUGCUAAGACAGGUGUGAAAUCUCCGGGCUUAACCCGGAAACUGCCAUUGAUACUAUUUGUCUUGAAUACUGUGGAGGUCAGCGGAAUAUGUCAUGUAGCGGUGAAAUGCUUAGAUAUGACAUAGAACACCAAUUGCGAAGGCAGCUGGCUACACAAAUAUUGACACUGAGGCACGAAAGCGUGGGGAUCAAACAGG